GACGAACGCUGGCGGCGUGCUUAACACAUGCAAGUCGAACGCUGAAGCUCAGCUUGCUGGGUGGAUGAGUGGCGAACGGGUGAGUAACACGUGAGUAACCUGCCCUCUUCUUUGGGAUAACGCCCGGAAACGGGUGCUAAUACUGGAUAUUCACUGAUUCUCGCAUGGGGGUUGGUGGAAAGGUUUUUUCUGGUGGGGGAUGGGCUCGCGGCCUAUCAGCUUGUUGGUGGGGUGAUGGCCUACCAAGGCUUUGACGGGUAGCCGGCCUGAGAGGGUGACCGGUCACAUUAGGACUGAGAUACGGCCCAGACUCGUACGGGAGGCAGCAGUGGGGAAUAUUGCACAAUGGGCGAAAGCCUGAUGCAGCGACGCCGCGUGAGGGAUGGAGGCCUUCGGGUUGUAAACCUCUUUCGCUCAUGGUCAAGCCGCAGCUUUGGGUUGUGGUGAGGGUAGUGGGUAAAGAAGCGCCGGCUAACUACGUG
rnacentral:rRNA from 1 species